rnacentral:rRNA from 1 species
UCUGGUACGGGCGCCGGAUCGAGGACAGUGUAUGGUGGGCAGUUUGACUGGGGCGGUCUCCUCCUAAAGAGUAACGGAGGAGUACGAAGGUGCGCUCAGACCGGUCGGAAAUCGGUCGCAGAGUAUAAAGGCAAAAGCGCGCUUGACUGCGAGACAGACAC